rnacentral:lncRNA from 1 species
AGCUGGUGGGAUGAAGCUGAGCAGCUUCUCCCCACAGAUGACAGCCUCCGGAGCUCUGCUGUUUAUGGGCUGAGUGCGUGGUGCCCUGCCUGCCUCUGCCCACUGGAACAUCCUCAGAGCCGGUUAAAUCAUACCUGCGUUUGCCUGAAAGUGAGAAAGCGCCUGUCUACACAUGGACCUCGCCACCCCCGAGAGAUUCAUCCUGGAGAGAAAAACCCUUUCCUUCUUUCUGCCUUGUCUCCUAUUUGUGGACAAAGUUACUCUGAAGACGUAAAUAAUGGUGAUCUCUUUGCUGGCAACUGAAGGCGAGCCCUUAGCUUCCAGCUUUGGGGCAAAAACCUGCUAAGAAAGGGAG